CACGUAGGGGGCAAGCGUUGUCCGGAUUUAUUGGCGUAAAGAGCGUGUAGGCGGCCAAACAGGUCCACUGUGAAAACUCGAGGCUCAACCUCGAGAGGUCGGUGGAAACCGUCUGGCUAGGUCGGUCGAAGAGGAGAGUGGAGUUCCCGGUGUAGCGGUGAAAUGCGCAGAUAUCGGGAGGAACACCAAUGGCGAAGGCAGCUCGCUGGGACGUGACUGACGCUG
rnacentral:rRNA from 1 species